CGAGAAGUGGGAUCCUGACGAAGGUAGGCACUUGUCUUUUUAUUUUAAUAAGACUGUGUUAUGCCUUUCUCAGUGAUCCACAUAGAAACGGGAUACGCUGACGAGGCCUUCUUCAGUGGCCCACAUAGUAACAAGUGGGAUACACUGAGGAGCCUUAUUUAGUGGCCCACAUAGAAACACAGGAAGUUGCCUGUUGUUUUGUAAAUAAAAGCAGAAAGGACACAGGAAGUUGCCUGCUGUCAUAAACUAAGAAGUUGCUCACCAGCAGAAAGGACACAGGAAGUUGCCUGGGGUCAUAAAACGAGAAGUUGCUCGUUAAAAAGUGAGAAGUUGCUCACUAAAAAGAUAAAAUUGCUAGCAAAAAAUCAAGUAACCUCAGGUGUGCCACAGCAAAAAUAGAUACUAACUUAAAUCCUUCAAAGCGUCUAAACCCCUCUGGAAAUCACUGACCAUGGGUCAGAAUAAUUCAAAGACCUUAGACGGGUCCGAUAAAAACUCAAAAUUAACUGUAAAACCGAAAAAAAUAAAAUAUAAAAUCACAAAUAGCGGCUCAGUACGACUCCCACUUCCGGUUACGUUUAACCCACGCUCGCGAAUCAAUGAAGACUUCCAUGAUUACGUAUCCAGAACAUGCGGAAGUGCUUACGUGACUGAUUUCGUCUCGAACUUAAGAACUAUAACUUUAAUGCAUCCUAAUGUAUUUCCGGAGCCCUAUCCCGAACGAUUAUCGCCAGAAAACAGCCUCUCCCUUCCAUAGAUCCAACCCAUCCGUGGAAACCAGGAGAUGCGGUGUUGGUACAGUCGCUAAAACCAAGGGCACUCGGGGAGGCCGCGUGUUCCAGCCCCCAGACUGUACUUGCAGUGACGAGAACCAGCAUCCUAACAGACGGACAACCUCAGUGGAUUCAUGCCAGCAGGGUUAAGACCAGCCCCACCAAACCACCUAAGGCGUCGGAUCAAGUAGAUGACGUCUCCGGCGAGCCAGCGCCCGGAUUCAAUACACC
ensembl:lncRNA